UCUUUUUCUGGAGAUUCCUCCUUUUUGGAGUUUUCCCCUAUGAGCCUAGAUCCUCUGAUAUAGGAGAGCAUUUCUUCCUUGACUGUUUCUUUUCCACCAUGAUAAUCUUCCGAACUAUAAGGCCUGUAAAGUACCAUCCUAGCUGUGCUAGUCUUCCAACUAUAUAUUUGUUGACUGUACAGGGUAGAAUAAGAAGAUGCUCGUAGAGAAAGAAAUAUUGGGGUUUAACUGAAGAAGCAUGACAUCAGUGAGCUGCACAGUUUUGAUUCUUGAAAGACUUAAAUGGUUAGAUUCUCAGAAAAUAAGCACAGCAGUACAUAACAUAUAUCUGUUUAUGAUUAGUUAAUGUACUUAAGGGGAACUUUGAUAAACAAUGACUAGUAGAAGAUAUUUGCUUUGUUAUGCCCUCUUGAGCAGCCUCAACAUAGAGGUGAGGAAUGAUGGUCUCAUUGUGGUGGCCCAUUCAGCAUAUCCAUAAAGGAUGCAGCUUUGCCAACAUUUGGAAGGGUGGAAUUUCCAAGUGACAGAAUGCAGCUGUUGAACACAACAUGAGAAGCUGCUUUUCCAACCACAAAUUAGGAAUACUUAGGUAUUUAUUUUUCUUAUCCUUUUAGAUGCAAUCUAUCCACUUAGCUCAAGAAAAUAUGAGUACCGAAUGCAGUGAAGAAAAAAAAACAUUUAAAAAAAUUGUCUUUUUGACUUUCCCUGUAGGAUAAUCUGCAACAUUUUUAAUUUCACCCAGGCCAAGUAGAUAGCAUGCUGAAUAGUCAAGUGCUCUAUUACAGCAGUCGGAAAAAAUGUGGACCUACAUCCUACAUUUACUUUUUUUUUUUACACAUUAAAGACACUUAAGAUUGGUGUUUAGGUCUUCAAUACCUUUUACUGAAGUAAUAUUUAAUGGCUGCAUUUUGUACUUUUAGGUUGAUGAGAUGAGUCACAGAAAAUAAUCAUAUAUGAAUAAAAUAUGAUAUUAUUCAAGAAAUAGACACUUUAAUAAACAGCUGAUGAGAAUUUGUUGUAAGGCAUUAUACUGAACCUUUAAGAAAGAUGAAAUAUGAUUCAUUAAAACAGGAUAGGCAAAAA
ensembl:lncRNA